rnacentral:rRNA from 1 species
GAUGAACGCUGGCGGCGUGCCUAAUACAUGCAAGUCGAGCGAACAGACGAGGAGCUUGCUCCUCUGACGUUAGCGGCGGACGGGUGAGUAACACGUGGAUAACCUACCUAUAAGACUGGGAUAACUUCGGGAAACCAGAGCUAAUACCGGAUAAUAUAUUGAACCGCAUGGUUCAAUAGUGAAAGACGGUUUUGCUGUCACUUAUAGAUGGAUCCGCGCCGCAUUAGCUAGUUGGUAAGGUAACGGCUUACCAAGGCAACGAUGCGUAGCCGACCUGAGAGGGUGAUCGGCCACACUGGAACUGAGACACGGUCCAGACUCCUACGGGAGGCAGCAGUAGGGAAUCUUCCGCAAUGGGCGAAAGCCUGACGGAGCAACGCCGCGUGAGUGAUGAAGGUCUUCGGAUCGUAAAACUCUGUUAUUAGGGAAGAACAAAUGUGUAAGUAACUAUGCACGUCUUGGCGGUACCUAAUCAGAAAGCCACGGCUAACUACGUG